rnacentral:rRNA from 1 species
GAUGAACGCUGGCGGCGUGCCUAACACAUGCAAGUCGAGCGAUCUCUUCGGAGAGAGCGGCGGACGGGUGAGUAACGCGUGGGUAACCUGCCCUGUACACACGGAUAACAUACCGAAAGGUAUACUAAUACGGGAUAACAUACGAAAGUCGCAUGGCUUUUGUAUCAAAGCUCCGGCGGUACAGGAUGGACCCGCGUCUGAUUAGCUAGUUGGUAAGGUAAUCGCUUACCAAGGCAACGAUCAGUAGCCGACCUGAGAGGGUGAUCGGCCACACUGGAACUGAGACACGGUCCAGACUCCUACGGGAGGACGAAGUGGGGAAUAUUGCACAAUGGGCGAAAGCCUGAUGCAGCAACGCCGCGUGAGCGAUGAAGGCCUUCGGGUCGUAAAGCUCUGUCCUCGAGGAAGAUAAUGACGGUACUUGAGGAGGAAGCCCCGGCUAACUACGUGCCAGCCGCCGCGGUAA